UACGUAGGGUGCGAGCGUUAAUCGGAAUUACUGGGCGUAAAGCGUGCGCAGGCGGUUUUGUAAGCCAGAUGUGAAAUCCCCGGGCUUAACCUGGGAAUGGCGUCUGAAACUACGGAGCUGGAGUGUGGCAGAGGGAGGUAGAAUUCCACGUGUAGCGGUGAAAUGCGUAGAUAUGUGGAGGAAUACCGAUGGCGAAGGCAGCCUCCUGGGCCAACACUGACGCUCAUGCACGAAAGCGUGGGGAGCAAACAGG
rnacentral:rRNA from 1 species